ensembl:lncRNA
GCUGGUCAGAUGGUUCCAGAAGAAACAUUCAGCAGGUUGCACUUCAGUUGUUACAGCCUACCCCAAUACAUCCUUUCCAGGUAGGCUGGGAAAAAAACAGCUCAGAACAGAGAACGCCUUUUCUCCUAAUGGCAGAGCUCUGAGAAGUUUCCAUAAACAGUAAUAAAUACCACCGCAUUUAUUUUACAGACUAACAAGAUCCAAGACACGAUCCUAUUCACCCUCUCACUCCUCUGUUGCAUAAAGUACUGCUUACUCCUUGCCUUAAGCCUGGUAGAUCCUUAUUUGGUUGCUAACACCAAACCACACUGAGCUUCCACUUCAUCCCUUAAAGUUAUAGAAAUAUAGGCAGAAAUAUAACUCCUCCUCCUCCACAGACAAAACCAUCUAGGUGCAGCUUAGAGAGCACAAAUGCUGCAGCUCUUAAAUAUAGCUAUGGUUCACCCCCCAAAUAAGAGCUCAUCCACACCAACUGAGAGCAGCUGUGUUAAUUUACAGGUGUAGAAGGCAAGCUUCUCAAGGAAAAAAGCAACAACACACAGCUGCUUUGUGAACCUCAAUUCCAUUUUCCAUACAGAUGGCUUAAGAAGUUAGGAAGAGAUCCGAGCUUUCAGAAGCAAUGUUUCUGAGUGUUGCAUCCAUCAGGCUCUGCUGAAAGCUGUGCUUUCUUGUGGGCAGCUCAGAACUGAGCAUCUCUCAUGGAAGUGCUCAGCACAAGCAGUGGGAUGUACUUCCCUUUUUGUUCACACGGGUGUUUCCUUGGGUUUUACUGCUUCAUAUCAGCACUUGGAAGGCAGUGCCUUCCUUUACCCAAGCCUGACUGCAGGGAGACCCUUCCCUCUGAUGGUUCAUGAACAUGUGUGUCUGUUCACACAUGUGCCCAUUUUCCUUCCAUUCACCUGCCAGGAAGGUUUUAAGAAAGCAGAAAUUGCUGGAGGUCUCCAAGCACAGAAUUGUGAUGCUGGAGGCAAUAUGCACAAUUUGCAGUUUGGGACCGUGAGCUCAGAUCUGUGUAUGUGGUGUUUAAUGUGCAGCAAUGCACAUAGGAGGGAUUAUUCAUAGCGCCUACAACUCAACACCUUCAUUUAGUUUUAACGAGGCAAAGAAUCUGCGGAGGAGAUAAGCAGAGUACUCUUAUUCCUGCUCAUGGGGUGAAGGAUUUGCCAAAGGCCUCAACAAAAGCAACAGCUGCUUUGUGAUGCUGAGCACAGAAGUACCUCUAUGGCAUCCUGCAGUAUUGCUGUCCCAGGCACAAGCUCUCCUCAGCCUACAGCUGAACACAGAAGACAAUGAAAUACAUCGCUUUGCUGUGCAAGAGGUCUCCCAGAUGAAGCAGAAAGGCAGCCCUUGCCCUUUAUGAAUUUAGCAGCUGAAGACUCCAACUCUUCACACCUUGCCAUUCUUACUCCAGUGUUGCACUGCUCAGCACUGGAGAAAUCGAACCCAAGAGGACACUCAGCGCUUUUAUUGCAGCCAACAAAAUUAAAGGCAAAAAGUCCAAUACCCCCUCUUCAUUUUCUUUGGACUGUCCUGUGCUGUGCUGUGCAUUAUGGAAUGGUUCAAAGUUGCAGUAAAACCUUCCCUUCUCUCGGCAAAAGAAAAAGCUAAGAAGCAUCCUAAGUAACCCACGUCCACUUCUCUUUCCUCUUUUAUUAAAAUCUAAUCACUUCUAAUAAACAGUUCUUGUUUCUCCCUUUAGUGACAGCUUAGAGGAGGUUUUGGUAAUGACUGUCUUUUAACUGAGCUGAGCUCAAUUAACUGGGCAGAAAAUUAGAAGCCAUGUCUGCAAAAUUAACAGGAAAUACAUCGUUUUCUGGCAUGCAAAAAUACAAUUCCUUCCUACCAAAUUUGGCUUAGAUUUAGCAAAACAUGUUCCACAGAUGGAGAUUCUUUCAAAAACAAAUUAGCCAUCCUAAGCUAACCAGGCUCUAAUGGUGCUGUUAGGACAAAAAGAUAAAAAACAAACAGUCCAGCAAUAUUAAUUAUAUUUUUUCCUCUUCUGUCAAUGUAUUCCUUGCCAGCUGGUUGUGUCUUACGUGGACAUGAUUGUUAGAGUAAUAACUGUUAGCCUAGCAAUAUUCUAAGGCAAAAUUCAGCCUAUGAGUUGCUGAAAAUGUCCAUCUCCACCAUUUGCUGUGCAAUAUCUGGGGCCAAAGCAUUCUGUGCAGCGCCUUUGGAAGAAAUACUGAAGUAUUAGUGCAGAAAUGGUGAAUCAGAGUAUUCUUUUUUCCCAUUGUGAAUCUUCUGACGAUAUAUGGUGUGCACUGCUUUGAGUUAAUGCAAACAUCUCUGUGAAUCAGGGCUCAGCCAAUGGACGGCCCUACGCAAGCUAACAGCGAGCGAGGGAGUUCAUCUCUUCUGUUUGAUAAGGUUUUGUUGCGUUCAUCCAGCUCUUGCCUUGCGUGUAUGGAAGCAGUUAGGUUCCUCUGAGCUUCCCUUGUUUCGAUACAGGAAAAGAACGAAGCUGCUCCUUUGAUCAUGCACUACUCACGAUGAAUCAAAACCCACCAGAGCACUCUGCCAGAUCUUUUGUGGUAAAGCAGCAUCCUCUCUUUGCAACGAGCCUUUCUACUUCCUUCCACAAAAUGAGACAUCAGAGGAACACCACUGGCAGAGGAAGCUGACAAAAGGAAGGUAUCCUGAGCGAAAAUCAUUCCCCUCCUAAGACUGUAUUUGGAUAUCUCAGAGGUUUCUGGGAAAACGGCUCAGCACACACAUUAUGUUCCCCAGCACCCCGGCUGUUAGCAGCUGGAUGCGGUGUUUCAGCAGCCACUCUUGAAGGAAAUGUAACAGCAAUUUUCAAUAAUAGACAACCUCAAAAACUCGGAGAUGUAAUGAAUCGGGAUAUUGAGCAAGGAACCGCUCACCAACUGGAGCUGCUUGAGUCACUCUCCAGAUGUACCUAGAGCAUCCCUACCAUCUUCUGUGCAAGUUCCCGGGGCAGGUUGGACCCGAUGGCUUGUUUCUCACAGAAAGAGCAUUGCAGGAGCUCUUGUGGAGAUGUUUUCAGUCUAAUAGCAGAGGUUGGAGCAGUUUGACAUUUCUUGAGUUGGGUGGGAUGAAUGAUAUUUCAUUAAUCACUGCUUUUGGAGUUACAUCACUGUCUAUGAAAUUGAAAAACAAAGUAUGACACGUAGUUUGAAAGGUUUUACCAUGGAAUUACGUAACUCUUCUGUGGUAGGGGAGUGGAACAGGCCAUCCUCCUGGGUUAGUCCAGUGUGGCUUUCUGUGCUACCUAAUGUCUUUUUCAUGUGAGAGUGGAUGUGUCUAAGCAGCACUGAAAAUUACACAACUGCUAAAUUGUGUCAUUGCUUCCAUGGUCCCAAGAAAAUACUUUUAUUUUUCAUGUUAGAAAUCAGACACAGAACUACGAGAACCAGGCCUGUUAAAAUGGCAGUGACAUUUUUAAUAACCAACACCGGGGACUUUUUAAAUGAGCGGUGUUUGCAAGUGGAAAAUACCUAGCAACACGUCGCGAAUUUCCAUCGUCUUCCUGUGCUACAAGGAAGAAAAAUGCCAUUUUCAAAUGUGACCUUUUCCCCUCUUGUCCAUGGCACAAAUACAAUAAAAUAAAUACCCAAAGAACGGAUGAAUUAUUUGAAGGAUCCAAGCUAUGCAGCACUGGGUACCUGGGUCCAGCUGGCUGCCCUUUGCAGCAGGGGGUCCUCAUGCAUGUGGGCGUUGUGGAAGGAGCAGUUCUGUAAGCAGAACAAGAAGACAGAACCCUGCAGCAGAUGCUGGAAGCUUCUUGCCAACCCACAGCCUGGAGAGGCCGUCUGAGCACUUGGAGUUUGG